GACGAACGCUGGCGGCGUGCUUAACACAUGCAAGUCGAACGGAAAGGCCCUGCUUUUGUGGGGUGCUCGAGUGGCGAACGGGUGAGUAACACGUGAGUAACCUGCCCUUGACUUUGGGAUAACUUCAGGAAACUGGGGCUAAUACCGGAUAGGAGCUCCUGCUGCAUGGUGGGGGUUGGAAAGUUUCGGCGGUUGGGGAUGGACUCGCGGCUUAUCAGCUUGUUGGUGGGGUAGUGGCUUACCAAGGCUUUGACGGGUAGCCGGCCUGAGAGGGUGACCGGCAGCAUGCGUACCAAGAUGCAGCCCACACUCGGGGGAGGGGGAGGGGUGGGGAAGGUUGCACAGUGGGAGGCGGGAUGAGGCACGACGGCGGGGGGCGGGAUGCUGGCCUGCGUGUAGUACUGCGCUUGCGCGUGUGAGGAGGUGUGGGUGAAGGUAGGGGAAAAAGAAGACCCGACUAACGACGCGCCAGCGGCCGUGGUAAUAAAACAUACGACCACUCUCAUGAUC
rnacentral:rRNA from 1 species